GGAUGAACGCUAGCGACAGGCUUAACACAUGCAAGUCGAGGGGCAGCACAGGUAGCAAUACCGGGUGGCGACCGGCGCACGGGUGAGUAACGCGUAUGCAACUUACCUAUCAGAGGGGGAUAACCCGGCGAAAGUCGGACUAAUACCGCAUGAAGCAGGGGUCCCGCAUGGGGAUAUUUGCUAAAGAUUCAUCGCUGAUAGAUAGGCAUGCGUUCCAUUAGGCAGUUGGCGGGGUAACGGCCCACCAAACCGACGAUGGAUAGGGGUUCUGAGAGGAAGGUCCCCCACAUUGGUACUGAGACACGGACCAAACUCCUACGGGAGGCAGCAGUGAGGAAUAUUGGUCAAUGGGCGUAAGCCUGAACCAGCCAAGUCGCGUGAGGGAUGAAGGUUCUAUGGAUCGUAAACCUCUUUUAUAAGGGAAUAAAGUGCGGGACGUGUCCCGUUUUGUAUGUACCUUAUGAAUAAGGAUCGGCUAACUCCGUGCCAGCAGCCGCGGUAAU
rnacentral:rRNA from 1 species